AGCAAGGCUGGCAGCAAGUUCCUAGGAAGGCAGGGAGGGGCAGAAACCAGAAUUCGUGCUGAAGUGGGGGUGGCAGGAAGGAAUUUCCUCCAUCCGUGUGUCUGUCCUGAGAUCACAGCGGAUGGCACCUCAAGUGCUGCUUCGCCCAUUCAUCACAGAAAAUGGGACAGAGCCAGGUGCUCUUCUUCAGCUUCCAUGGCUGCCUUUCUGGAAAGACUCCUGAUAAACCAUCAGAAGUUAAUGAUCAAAAAGCUUAUCAGGGUCUUUUCAUCUAUAAAUUUAUAAGACAAAAGAGAAAUAAUAAAGCCAUUAGAUAAUUAGUAACUAGCCAGGGCCCGCCCGGUGCCACUGGGCUCAGACUACCCCAAGACCUGUACGCAGACUCAGGAAGAUGAGAAGGAGACAAGGAUAAGGGGAAGGAAAAGCAGAAGGGGAAGAGAGAAUUAGCCAAGAAGACAACAAAAUGGGAGGAAUAGCAGCAGAGGCAAAAGUGAGGAGGGAAGGGAAAUAGGUAAAAAGAAUGGGAAAGAGGUAAAGGGAACAGAGAGGACUAAAAGAUGUGACAGAGCUGGAAGUGGGAAAUUGAUGGAUGAUGUGGUCAUCAAUUCUGAGCCAGAAAGAAGACUGAGUUAUUGGGAAUGUUUUCCCCACUCAGGUGGCAUCUGCACCCGGAGCACCACGUGCCCUCGCUGCUGUGAGCUGAGAAAUCUCGGAUACAGAAGACUCUCUUUGUGUGCCUAAAAGGAAGUGAUAAUCUGAAGUCCAUGUAAAAACAUUUAAUGGCAAAACCAAGGUAAUGGACAGCAGAGUCCCGUGAACAGAAUGGACAGCAGAAUAGACUCCCAAAGCCUGACUUCUUCUAUCAACACCAUUUUUACCUUAGUACAAUCAGAUGCAGAACAACCCAAACUCUUUCAGCACCAGGAAGGGGGCACGGCUGCCUUUUGACUGAGACACUGUGGUGACUUCAAGUUUCUUCUUACCACUGUUUGCAGGAUUCAGUUGGAUUUGGAACAAACAUUUACUCUUUAUCUCCAAAGACAACAUUUGUUGAGCUUUGGGAGUCUCGGUGAAGCCGAAGGUUUAACAGCCAUUCAGAACAGGCCUGGAUGCAGAGCCAACAGCACGGUGUGAUAAUGCCACAGGGCAUCAUGGGUUUAAAUUAUAGGCGCUCUCGACAUUCCUCUUCCUAUAUGGGGACACAGGACUGUGUCCUUCCCCGGCUUCCAUCUGUUCCUUCACUUACUUGCUGUUUCUGCCGUCAGGGUGAGGAUGAGGUUGGAGAGCAGGAGCAGCCCUGGAGUUCAGUUAAUGGAGUUUCCCACUAGGUGGUAGUGAAGAGAAUCGCGUCACAGGUACCGUUACGUCACCUCCAACUCUAAGUUAAAACUGGCUCUUCUCCCUCCCACACGAGAAGGAACAAAGAACGAGGCUGCACAGCUGGACUGGAACAAUCGCUCCGCGCUCUGCGAAGCCCCACACGCACAAACGGCUCCCGUGCAGGAACGGGAGGUGGGAUUAAUUCAAGGGAGCAGACCCAAGAUAAGAUGCUAGUUCUGCAAUUGGCAGAAACACAAUCAGGGACUGAAGAUUUGGCGAUGGCACCAAAGAAACCAAGGGGAGAGAUGAGCGGGAUCAGCGGCUGCCAGUUCCUCUGCCUGGGACUUGCAGGGACGGUGGUAACAUGAAGUG
rnacentral:lncRNA from 1 species